rnacentral:tRNA from 1 species
CUUCUCGUGGUGUAGUGGUAACGCGUCUGUCUAGUGUGUCGGAGUCGUGUCGUGAGUUCGAAUCUCACUGAGAGAA